UCCUACUCCGCCCCUCAGCGGCCCCGCUCCGCUGUCCGCGUGCGCCUCACGGGUCCGCGGUGCCCGGAGCCCACGUCCCGCUGCUGGCCCGGACACCGGGCGGUCCGCGAGAGCUGCGACCGGCUGUUGUGGCGACCACGUGCGGGAGCGCCCGGCGCGGCGCUGGUAACGGCCACGUGCUGCUCCUCGUGCCCCCGUCCUUGGAGCCGGCGUGUCAGCGAGGAGCCGCAACCACAAAGAAUUGGGGCUUGGGGCCGAAGGGCCCCCAGGAGCUGUCGUGUCUGCAAGGGUCGCUCCAGGCACUCAGACGGGUGUGCGGGGCCUGCAGCGGUCCCUCGCAAACCCGAGGCGCCACGGGCGACAGGAAAAAUGCCUUGAAGUUGUACAAUUGAAUAGUAUAAGAACAGAAUUUGCAAGGAAAGUGUGCGCUAUAGAUGAACCAAAGUGUGUGCAUGUGUGUAAAUACACGCACACAGAGCACAAAGCUCUCAUGGGCUGAAGUUCACUUUAUCUAAUUCUGUGUGUGCAAGUAUAUGUUGUCUCCAGUUAGUCUAUAGGGUGCUAAUUUACUCGGCCAAUUACUUGACUUGAAGCUAACAUGGCUAAGUGUCUCUUUGCUUACCAUCCUUUGCUUCAAACAAUACUUAAAAAUAUCAGGGGGGGGAUGGGGCGGGGAGGAAGAUGGCGAGGAUGGAGUAGUUAACCUUGUUGUCAACUCUAAGUUCCUUGUCGCCGAUCUUGCAUAUCUAUAAGAGGGCUUUACAAAUUCUGUAUUCGUGAGUUGCUUCUCAGCCCUUGGCUAGAACAUAUUCUGUUAAGCAUAUGAAAUCAACAUGAUGGCAAUUAGUUGGGAGUUCAGGGCCAGAAUUGAAACUGAAUUCCAUAUGUACCUGAAGCUUCAUGUACCAAUUGCUCAGGAUGAAAUGGCACUUUCUCUCGGCUAUGCUGCAUCUAUGGAGACAACAGUGCAUGGGGACUCUGUGGUUUCUGGCACUUAUGAGCAGAUGCAGAACUCAGCUGAGGCAUCCCAGUUCCUGGAAGCAUCCUUCUCAGGACAGAGGUCCAGUCAGGAGCUGGAUGAAACAACACGAUCGGACAUCUCUGAAAGACUGUCCGUGGAAGAUGUUGGAUGUUGAGUCUGAAACUGGCUCCACUGGAGCCCUUGAGACCACGAACUUAAAGGCCCACAAAGGUGAGGACCAGUGUUGCUUGAAACAUGAGCGUCAGCCUUACAGACCUGAGUCUAGGGUGAUGGUCACAUCUUGUGGCUGAGUAACUGUCCACUUGUGCAGUGGGUGAGGAUAACUUCAUUCCUUAUCUGUUUUGCUAAUCUACAAGGUGAUAUGCUUUAGGCAAGAUGGUUGUGAUUAUUUCUGGAAGAUAUGUCAAAGCAGUCACUUUUCAGUGCACAAACAGCCAACCUGUGUUAGCAGCACAAAUUGCAGGAAUGGGACUUGGGCUGGCAUGUUCUCCAAGUAGGUGCGCAAAGAAAAGGAGCAAGCAAGGUGCAAUGUCAAAUACAAGGCAAAUAUGAAGUCAGUUUUAAGACUUACUUUACCAAGUGUCCAAUAUUAUAACUGCUAAAAGCAAUGGGACAGUUGAGGGAGACCUUGCUACAGAGCUUUUGGGAAUUGGUGAAACUACUAAUAGUGUGAUGCAAGUUAGUAAUGUAGCUUGCCUAAUGAAACAAAACAUGUCUAUGUAGGUGAAAUACUUACUGAUGGGGAGAUGCAAUAGUUUAUAAAUGGCAUUUUUUUUUUUUUGAGCUCUAGAGUCGCAAUGAAGUCAGCCUUAUGACUGGAAUGAAGUCAGCCUUAUGCAUGGAAAUGCAAGUACAGAUUUAAAAAAAAAAUAUUGAUUGAUUGAUUUUUUUGUAAUAUUCUUGUGUCCCAGGCCAAAUCAAUUCCAAAUCCGUGAGUCAUUCAAGAACAAUAUGUGACCCUAGUACCAGCAAACAUCCUCCACCACCACCUGGGGCUUCAGAUGCUUCCAAAUCAUUUGGCAGGCAUCUUACGUGCAGCACCAAGCUCAGAGGUUUGGGGUUCAGAUGCCCUCAAGUUUUGCUCGUCCUCAGCCAUAUGGCCUCAGGAGCAAACUAGAGAGUGUGCAGGCUGGGAGCGGUCCGAGGCUUUUGGGGGCGCGCGGCGGG